UACGGAGGGAGCUAGCGUUGUUCGGAAUUACUGGGCGUAAAGCGCGCGUAGGCGGCUUUGUAAGUUAGAGGUGAAAGCCCGGGGCUCAACUCCGGAACUGCCUUUAAGACUGCAUCGCUUGAAUCCGGGAGAGGUGAGUGGAAUUCCGAGUGUAGAGGUGAAAUUCGUAGAUAUUCGGAAGAACACCAGUGGCGAAGGCGGCUCUCUGGACCGUAACUGACGCUGAGGCGCGAAAGCGUGGGGAGCAAACAGG
rnacentral:rRNA from 1 species